rnacentral:lncRNA from 1 species
AAAAGAUAAAACAAGAACUCUAAGUUAUACCUGAGAUAGCAAUCGCAAGAGGUAAGUUCUCUAUAGCUAGGUUACAAAGGGUAGAGGCUGGAUAUAUUAAAACUUAGAAAUUCAGAGGAAGUGCCCUGUGGGGCUUGGACUUGAACCUCUGAGGAGUGAUAAUUGACAAUGUUAGUAUCUCUCAGUGGGCUUUUCACCCCCUUCACUCUGCACAUCUCCCUGCUGCUGCCAUGUGAAGAAGGACCUGUUUGCUUCACCUCCCACCAUGAUUAAGAAGGAAAAGGAGGAGGAGGGAGAAAAGAAGGACAAGGAAGAUAAGAGGAUCAAGAGGAUGAAGAGGAGAGAUAAAGAGAAGGAGAGAGAGAGUGAAGAGACAAAAUCUGUGGAAUAGGAGAAAAUAUUUACAAACUAUUCAUCUAAGGGACCAAUAUUCCAAAGAGACAAGGAACUCAAAUAACUCAGCAGCAAGAAAACCCCAAUAAUCCGAUCAAAAAGUGGACAAAUUAUCUGAAUAAACAUUUAUGAAAAAAGACAUACAAAUGGUCAACAGUUGUAUGACUUUGAGGUCUUAAUUGAUUUUCUGCUGAAUGUUUAGUGUCUCAUGCUUGUCGUGGGGUAUCAUUUAGUUGACUUUACAUCACUAGAGUUGUAUCAUUUUUGUUUCCUUGAUUUGCAAAAAUAAUCUGUCAAAUCCACAAAUUCACUGAAAAAUAUUAAUAUUGGCCCAAACUGUCAAAUAGGUUAUUUAGAACAAGAUAGAUCUAACAUGUCAUUGUUUUACCUCUUGUUGCCCUUUUUGUUUUUCGUGUUUUGCUGUUUUCCUUGAACAGGUACUAUGAUAUUGGGUCAGUUAUGGCCACGUUAAAACCUUACAGAAAGAUGGCUAAAAGAGUAGCUGGCAUUUUAUAAAUGGAGUAUGUGGUGGAGAAAGGUGAAGAGCUUUACUUAAUAUACUGGAAGAAUAAUCAGAAAGGGGAAACUGUAUCUAGUUUCUUUGAUUUUUAGUAAAGUUCAUAUGAAGAGAAUUAUCCUCAACUAUUCUCUACAAUGGAAAGCUUUGCUAUAAUGACAGUUCAUUUAAGAAUUGUCAUGUGUGAAGUUAAAACAACUUUAUGGAGAAGUAUAGCAACUGCUCCUUCCAUGAAAAAAAUUAUGUUAUUAGUUACAAAAAAUGUAUCCAAAUAUCUUUCAUAUCAUAUUUGUUUAUGGAUGCUAAUGGCAUUUUGGAACAAUGAAGGCAUUCCAUCUGGCAAAUAGGUGAAAGGCAAAUCUUAACACAAAUAUCUUCAUGUCAAUAUAAUAGCAAAACAUUCACUGGCUUGUAGGUUACCUUGUUAUUUGUUAUGACUUUCCGUCAGAUUUUCAUGGGCACAUUUUCUUAAACAGAAAAUGUUUUUCUUAAACAGAAAAAGUUUGAAGAAGUUUUCCUACAACCACAUGGCAAGACUUUAAAUGUUUUAUUAUCUAUUCUCCUGUUUGUGUUGCCUAUACACUGCACACUUUGAUUGAAGUAUUUUUAUAUGCAAAGAGAAGAAAACAAUAUAUAAAAUCAGUUGUGUCCAGAUGAAAGAAGUGAACUUCAGCAAUGGCAAAGAAAUUUGGCUAACAGGAGGGCAAAUAGUUACAGGUUGAUUCUUUUGAUUGGAGACCUUAAUUUGAAGUCCAAUAUGAGCUAGAUGGGCACUUUGCACAGAGCCACACAGCUGCAUCAUUUCCUUUAGAGUUAGCUAGUAAGGACACUGGAGUUUUUCAGGUAAGAUCUGGUGGCUUGAACAUGCUGUGAACAAAC